GGGGGUGUGGCUCAAAGGUAGAGCGCUCACUUAGUACGUGUGAGGCCCUGGAUUUGAUCCUCAGCACCACAU
rfam:Ictidomys tridecemlineatus contig033077, whole genome shotgun sequence.